rnacentral:tRNA from 1 species
GGGCGGAUAGCUCAGUGGGAGAGCGUUGGCCUUACAAGCCAAAGGUCACAGGUUCAAGCCCUGUUCCGCCCACCA